rnacentral:lncRNA from 1 species
GGGGAAAGAACCAUUAUGGAAAAUCUUCAUGGGAGAACCAUUGUGGGGAAACUAGAUACGUAUUGGAUCGGCUGUCAUGAUGGUGCCUAAGUGGGACAUCUGUCACAGGCUUUACCGUUGGCAUUUUUGAAAGUGCUGCAUCAUGGUGGAAGGCCCCUCGAUUUUAAUUGGAUAUCUGUUUCUUUCUGCCUUUUUCCGAUCCCUCCAUUAAUUCGAAAGCAUCAGCUAAGCAAGACUUGAAAUCAACGGCAACUUUUGCACUCACAAGAAGGCUUUCACUAAAGCCUGCGUUUAUCAAGAGGUUGAACCCCACCAAAGCGAAAGGCUGGUAAAAAGAGAGAGCCAAGUCAAAGGGAAGGGACCUCUUAACAUUGAAAGAUUGAAGCCAAGUUUUUUUUUUCUCUAAUAUGAUGACAAGGGAGACCAGCAAAAGUGCCACCCAGAUUUUAUUUAGGAAAGGAAAGAUCUAAGCUGAGAAUUGGCAUCAU